rnacentral:rRNA from 1 species
GAUCAGCCACACUGGGACUGACACGGACCAGACUCUACGGGAGGCAGCAGUAAGGAAUAUUGGUCAAUGGGCGCAAGCCUGAACCAGCCAUGCCGCGUGCAGGAAGACGGCCCUAUGGGUUGUAAACUGCUUUUGUCAGGGAAUAAACCCCCGCUCGUGAGCGGGGCUGAAGGUACCUGAAGAAUAAGCAUCGGCUAACUCCGUGCCAGCAGCCGCGGUAAUACGGAGGAUGCAAGCGUUAUCCGGAUUCAUUGGGUUUAAAGGGUGCGCAGGCGGAUUGGUAAGUCAGGGGUGAAAUCCCACAGCUCAACUGUGGAACUGCCUUUGAUACUGCCAGUCUAGAGUAUAGUUGAAGUUGGCGGAAUGUGUCAUGUAGCGGUGAAAUGCUUAGAUAUGACACAGAACACCGAUCGCGAAGGCAGCUAGCUAAGCUAUAACUGACGCUCAUGCACGAAAGCGUGGGGAUCAAACAGGAUUAGAUACCCUGGUAGUCCACGCUGUAAACGAUGAUUACUCGAUGUUGGCGAUACACAGUCAGCGUCUGAGCGAAAGCAAUAAGUAAUCCACCUGGGGAGUACGAUCGCAAGAUUGAAACUCAAAGGAAUUGACGGGGGCCCGCACAAGCGGAGGAGCAUGUGGUUUAAUUCGAUGAUACGCGAGGAACCUUACCUGGGCUCGAACGUAAGAUGACUGUAGGUGAAAGCUUACAUCUCUUCGGAGCAUUUUACGAGGUGCUGCAUGGUUGUCGUCAGCUCGUGCCGUGAGGUGUCGGGUUAAGUCCCAUAACGAGCGCAACCCCUACCUUUAGUUGCCAUCAGGUCAUGCUGGGGACUCUAAAGAUACUGCCCC